GGGUUGUGAGGUUAAGCGACUAAGCGUACACGGUGGAUGCCCUGGCAGUCAGAGGCGAUGAAGGACGUGCUAAUCUGCGAUAAGCGUCGGUAAGGUGAUAUGAACCGUUAUAACCGGCGAUUUCCGAAUGGGGAAACCCAGUGUGAUUCGUCACACUAUCAUUAACUGAAUCCAUAGGUUAAUGAGGCGAACCGGGGGAACUGAAACAUCUAAGUACCCCGAGGAAAAGAAAUCAACCGAGAUUCCCCCAGUAGCGGCGAGCGAACGGGGAGCAGCCCAGAGCCUGAAUCAGUGUGUGUGUUAGUGGAAGCGUCUGGAAAGGCGCGCGAUACAGGGUGACAGCCCCGUACACAAAAAUGCACAUGCUGUGAGCUCGAUGAGUAGGGCGGGACACGUGGUAUCCUGUCUGAAUAUGGGGGGACCAUCCUCCAAGGCUAAAUACUCCUGACUGACCGAUAGUGAACCAGUACCGUGAGGGAAAGGCGAAAAGAACCCCGGCGAGGGGAGUGAAAAAGAACCUGAAACCGUGUACGUACAAGCAGUGGGAGCCUCUUUAUGGGGUGACUGCGUACCUUUUGUAUAAUGGGUCAGCGACUUAUAUUCUGUAGCAAGGUUAACCGAAUAGGGGAGCCGAAGGGAAACCGAGUCUUAACUGGGCGUUAAGUUGCAGGGUAUAGACCCGAAACCCGGUGAUCUAGCCAUGGGCAGGUUGAAGGUUGGGUAACACUAACUGGAGGACCGAACCGACUAAUGUUGAAAAAUUAGCGGAUGACUUGUGGCUGGGGGUGAAAGGCCAAUCAAACCGGGAGAUAGCUGGUUCUCCCCGAAAGCUAUUUAGGUAGCGCCUCGUGAAUUCAUCUCCGGGGGUAGAGCACUGUUUCGGCAAGGGGGUCAUCCCGACUUACCAACCCGAUGCAAACUGCGAAUACCGGAGAAUGUUAUCACGGGAGACACACGGCGGGUGCUAACGUCCGUCGUGAAGAGGGAAACAACCCAGACCGCCAGCUAAGGUCCCAAAGUCAUGGUUAAGUGGGAAACGAUGUGGGAAGGCCCAGACAGCCAGGAUGUUGGCUUAGAAGCAGCCAUCAUUUAAAGAAAGCGUAAUAGCUCACUGGUCGAGUCGGCCUGCGCGGAAGAUGUAACGGGGCUAAACCAUGCACCGAAGCUGCGGCAGCGACGCUUAUGCGUUGUUGGGUAGGGGAGCGUUCUGUAAGCCUGCGAAGGUGUACUGUGAGGUAUGCUGGAGGUAUCAGAAGUGCGAAUGCUGACAUAAGUAACGAUAAAGCGGGUGAAAAGCCCGCUCGCCGGAAGACCAAGGGUUCCUGUCCAACGUUAAUCGGGGCAGGGUGAGUCGACCCCUAAGGCGAGGCCGAAAGGCGUAGUCGAUGGGAAACAGGUUAAUAUUCCUGUACUUGGUGUUACUGCGAAGGGGGGACGGAGAAGGCUAUGUUGGCCGGGCGACGGUUGUCCCGGUUUAAGCGUGUAGGCUGGUUUUCCAGGCAAAUCCGGAAAAUCAAGGCUGAGGCGUGAUGACGAGGCACUACGGUGCUGAAGCAACAAAUGCCCUGCUUCCAGGAAAAGCCUCUAAGCAUCAGGUAACAUCAAAUCGUACCCCAAACCGACACAGGUGGUCAGGUAGAGAAUACCAAGGCGCUUGAGAGAACUCGGGUGAAGGAACUAGGCAAAAUGGUGCCGUAACUUCGGGAGAAGGCACGCUGAUAUGUAGGUGAAGUCCCUUGCGGAUGGAGCUGAAAUCAGUCGAAGAUACCAGCUGGCUGCAACUGUUUAUUAAAAACACAGCACUGUGCAAACACGAAAGUGGACGUAUACGGUGUGACGCCUGCCCGGUGCCGGAAGGUUAAUUGAUGGGGUUAGCGGUAACGCGAAGCUCUUGAUCGAAGCCCCGGUAAACGGCGGCCGUAACUAUAACGGUCCUAAGGUAGCGAAAUUCCUUGUCGGGUAAGUUCCGACCUGCACGAAUGGCGUAAUGAUGGCCAGGCUGUCUCCACCCGAGACUCAGUGAAAUUGAACUCGCUGUGAAGAUGCAGUGUACCCGCGGCAAGACGGAAAGACCCCGUGAACCUUUACUAUAGCUUGACACUGAACAUUGAGCCUUGAUGUGUAGGAUAGGUGGGAGGCUUUGAAGUGUGGACGCCAGUCUGCAUGGAGCCGACCUUGAAAUACCACCCUUUAAUGUUUGAUGUUCUAACGUUGGCCCCUAAUCGGGGUUGCGGACAGUGUCUGGUGGGUAGUUUGACUGGGGCGGUCUCCUCCUAAAGAGUAACGGAGGAGCACGAAGGUUGGCUAAUCCUGGUCGGACAUCAGGAGGUUAGUGCAAUGGCAUAAGCCAGCUUGACUGCGAGCGUGACGGCGCGAGCAGGUGCGAAAGCAGGUCAUAGUGAUCCGGUGGUUCUGAAUGGAAGGGCCAUCGCUCAACGGAUAAAAGGUACUCCGGGGAUAACAGGCUGAUACCGCCCAAGAGUUCAUAUCGACGGCGGUGUUUGGCACCUCGAUGUCGGCUCAUCACAUCCUGGGGCUGAAGUAGGUCCCAAGGGUAUGGCUGUUCGCCAUUUAAAGUGGUACGCGAGCUGGGUUUAGAACGUCGUGAGACAGUUCGGUCCCUAUCUGCCGUGGGCGCUGGAGAACUGAGGGGGGCUGCUCCUAGUACGAGAGGACCGGAGUGGACGCAUCACUGGUGUUCGGGUUGUCAUGCCAAUGGCACUGCCCGGUAGCUAAAUGCGGAAGAGAUAAGUGCUGAAAGCAUCUAAGCACGAAACUUGCCCCGAGAUGAGUUCUCCCUGACUCCCUGAGAGUCCUGAAGGAACGUUGAAGACGACGACGUUGAUAGGCCGGGUGUGUAAGCGCAGCGAUGCGUUGAGCUAACCGGUACUAAUGAACCGUGAGGCUUAACCUUACAACGCCGAAG
rnacentral:rRNA from 2 species